CCUGAAGGUUGUCUGGUGUGCGCGAUACAAGAAGUUGCACAAAUAUAUAUAAUUGAUGAGGAAGUGGUCAGCAAACGCCAAAGUAGACUAAUUAUUUUAUUUUAUUUUUAUUUUAGAGAUGUUGGGACGAUUAUUUAUUAGUUUAUUGGACAUAGAAAGAUAGAAAUUGCUAAAUCAAUCUAAAAACUAAUUCAGGUUCACCCACUACAACUUGCAUUACAUUAUAUUUUAGAAUAAGGUGGUCAGAAAACGACAAAGUUGAUGAGUUCUUGUUGGGUUCAAAUUGAACCAAUUGGCUGCAAAUUAGAUCAAUAUGCAAAUUAGAUCUGGAGGUUUAGUUGUUGUUUUCGUUUUGGCGAAGAGAGAGUAAGUAGUAGAGAGAAUGGCUGAGGCAGUUGUUUCCUUUGUGCUCGAAAGUGUCAGGGACUUCACCAUUCAGGAAGCCAAGUUCUUGUCUGGAGUCAGCCAUCAAGUUGAGGUCGCACAAACUGAGCUACAAUUGAUGCAGGGCUUCCUCAAAGAUGCAGAUGCAAGACAAGGACAAGAUGAAACAGUCCGUAUUUGGGUUGCCAAGAUUAGAGAUGCUGCUUAUGAUUUGGAGGAUGUCAUCCAAACUUAUGGCUUGAAAGUGGUUUCCAAGAAGAAAAGAGGCCUCAAGAAUGUUCUCAAAAGAUUUGCCUGCAUCUUCAAGGAAGGGGUUGAUGUUCACAGGAUUGGGAACGAAAUUGAGAAUAUCACCACCAGAAUUUCUGAUUUGAGGUCAAGUUUGCAGAAGUAUAACAUAAAGCAAACAAGAGAAAGUAGUGGUGGUGAAUCUUCCUUGCAAUUGCAUGAGAGGCUAAGGAGAAGUUAUUCUCAUGUUGUUGAACGUGAUGUUGUUGGGUUAGAGUCCAACGUUGAAGAAUUGGUUGUGCAUUUGGUGAAAGAUGAAAACCGUCAUCAAGUUGUAUCUGUUUGGGGUAUGGGCGGUUUAGGGAAGACCACCCUUGCAAGAAAGGUUUAUCAUCACAAAAAAGUAAGGCAGCAUUUCCUUAGUUUUGCUUGGGUCUGUAUAUCUCAACGUUUUCAAGUCAGAAAUGUUUGGGAAAGAAUUUUAAUUGAACUCACUUCUGCUACCAAGGAACCAAAACAAGAAAUUAAGGACAUGACAGAUGAUGAAAUAGCAAAGAAGCUUUUUUGUGUCAUGGAAGAAAUGAGAUGUUUGGUGAUUCUUGAUGACAUUUGGAGUAUCGAGACAUGGAAUCUUUUGAAGGUUGCAUUUCCAAACGUGGAAACAGAGAGCACAAUAUUGCUUACUACACGGAAUCAAGCAGUAGCUUCGCUCCCAAAUAGAAAUGUUUUUCUCCACAAACUCCAGCCACUCAAUGAGAAUGAGAGUUGGGAACUACUUGUGAAGAAAGCAAUACCUGCAAGGGCUGAAAUCGGCAAGGAAUAUCCACUAAGACUGCUCAUACUAGAGUUUUGAAGGUUGAAGGUCUUAAUAAGGUAGAAGUUGAGUUGCCAAGUGAAAUUGGAAAUAUGGUACACUUAAGGUUUCUAAGCGUGAAGGAUUGCUAUAUAACAACGUUUCCGCCAUCCCUAGAGCAAAUGGUAAGCUGGAGCUGUCUACUCUUGGCCAUCUACAGACCUUAUAUAACCUUUCAAGUGAGUAUUGUGAUUUGAAAGAUGUUGG